AUAUUGGGCAAUGGGCGCAAGCCUGACCCAGCGACGCCGCGUGCGGGAGGAAGCCUUUCGGGGUGUAAACCGCUGUCAGAGGGGACGAACGGCCUCAUGGGGAAUACUCAUGGGGAUUGACGGUACCCUCAAAGGAAGCGCCGGCUAACUCCGUGCCAGCAGCCGCGGUAAUACGGAGGGCGCAAGCGUUGUUCGGAAUCACUGGGCGUAAAGCGCGCGCAGGCGGGUGUGCAAGUCGGAAGUGAAAUACCGGGGCUCAACUCCGGGGCUGCUUCCGAUACUGCAUGUCUGGAGACCGGUAGAGGUGGGUGGAAUUCCCGGUGUAGCGGUGGAAUGCGUAGAGAUCGGGAAGAACACCUGUGGCGAAGGCGGCCCACUGGGCCGGAUCUGACGCUGAGGCGCGAAAGCGUGGGGAGCAA
rnacentral:rRNA from 1 species